rnacentral:lncRNA from 1 species
AGUAAAUAUAGUGUGAACUAAACAAAAUGUGUAAUACAGAAACAUUAACACUUUCAGUUAAAUUUGAUUAAAAUCAGUUGGGGUAAGCAGAUAUCCUGAUAAUUAUUAUUAUUAUUUUUUUAUCAUAACCAGGUCUAGAUCCCAAAACAAUAAAAAAACGAAAACAUAUAUAAAAUUUUGUCUUUUAUUUAUUUAUUUAUUUUCACAAUCAAUUUUUAUCAAAAUUUGUUCCAAUCAAACUUUAUUUAACCAAAUUUUAAAUACGUUUUUUUUUUAUUUGAUCAUAUUUUUGCAUUAAUUAUUUCAUUAUUAGAUUCUAUAAAACAAAAUUACACUGUAAAUAAAAUAAUUGUGGACACUGACAAUUAAAUAUUGACUCAACAAAUGACUUCACAAUAAUAAGCCCCAAACAAAAAAAAAUACACAUUAUUAAUUUCAGAUGAUGGUCUGAAGU